CAAGGACUCUGUACGCACGUGCGAGCUUCCCCUUUUAAGCCUCUCCCACCCCUUCUCUCUCUUCCAUCUCUGUUCCCGGCCAGGCCAACACCCACUCCUCUCUUUGUUCCCAUUCCCGGUAACUCCAUGUUGUGUCUUUUGUGAUUCAUCGCCAGAAGCAGCUACAAACAACAGCGUAGACGCCAGCUGAUGAGCGAGGAGGGUUCUGGGAAGUUGUUGGGACCAAGGCUUCAGGAUCGUCUUGUACCUUUCUUGUGGAUCUGAAAAGAGGUUUUCCUGUUUCUGUGAGGAGACACUACGUCCCAGGAAACUUAUAAAAGAGAGCAUUCACCUGAGGGCUGGCUUACAGCUUCAGACGGUUGUGGUGAUACCUUUUUUGUACAAAUAAAAGCUGUCUGGGGGUCAGAGGAUGGAGCCUGCCACUAGCUAACCAUAGAGGUCUGGAGGUCUGCACAGACAGACAGAAACAGGAUAUAAGCAGGGACAAACAGGAAAUCGCUCUCUUCUCUGCUGAGACACUAAGGAGAGUGCCCUGGGGGGCCCUGGUGGAGCUGUCAAUGACACAGAGCAGAUGUGCAUGGAGGAGUCGGAGAAAGCCAGUAACACUGAUCAUCGCCGGUGGCUUCUGAAACAUUACAGAUCUGUGUGAGGCCAAAUUUUCUUCAACUACUUCAACCGAAACAAUGUCUCAUAUGAGAUUGGAUGCAGAACCCAGCCUGGGACCACAGCUGCUUUCCAUUAAUGCGACAUUAAAGAAACUUAUAAAAAUGUAAAACAAUGUCACACUUCUCCCUGAUAUUUUCAUUAAAAGUAUCUUAUUCAUUUUGCUAUGCAAAAA